CAGAAACACCAACUGAGCCGAGGCUCGAACCAGCAAUCUUCUUGCUGUGAGGCGACAGCACUACCUACUGCGCCACUGCUUCGCCACACCAUAAUUUUAAACAAAUAAAGACAAAUUUGCAAAACGAAAAGUCUUGUUUACAAUUUGAGCAUGUGCUUGCAUUCAACACAACAGUACAUCUCUCAAUUUAACAGCUGAACUCAUUGGUCAAAGCUGGCUUUCUUUUAACAUAAGCCCAGACACACACAAAAAUCAAGGUUACAAAAUGCAUGAAAUGUCAUCUUACCUGGAACUGGCUAAUAUUGACGUUUGUCCUGUACUGAUUACAAAUUAAUCCUUCUGAUACAUUUAUGAUCCUGCUAAAAAAAGCCUAGGCUGGUUGGCUGGUUUUAGCUGGUUAACCAGCCUGGUUUUAGAGAGGUUUUGGCCACUUCCUGUUUCCAGCCAUUUCCAGUCUGGUCCUAGUAGCUGGCAAGGCUGGAAAAUGACUAGCUAAAACCAGCUGACAUAGCUGGUUUUAGCUGGUUAUCCUUUAGCCUAACUAAAACCAGCCUGGUUGACCAGCUAAAACCAGCCAAUCCGCAUAGGCUGGUUUAAGCAGUUUUUUUUCAGGAGGGGAGCCACAAGAGGGAGCUGACAAUCAACUUUGGUCAUAUGCAUUGUGCACAUUAAUCGACUUUAGCUUGAGUUUGAAUGACUUAAAUUGUGUUUGAGUGAUUUUAAUUUCGUCUAGCCAACUUUGAUACAUAUUUAACCCUGCAGGCUUUAUUAUUAUACGAUUAUGUGUUAGAAUCUGUCAUGCAGUUCUCCAUCCGCUCCACUAGGCAGUGCUCGCGCCUUCACGUUUAGUCUGACAGCUUCUUGGCAGCAUGGCAUUUGUUUUGGAUAGUGAACUGUUUUGAAUACUGAAGAUGACAGCUCAGUGAGAGUGUUUUAAAGUCACUAAACAACAUAUAUACUAUAUACUAAACAACAUAUCAACUAAAACAACCGACACACGCUGCGAUAAAGUGGAGGAAUGCAGUGAAACUCGACUCACCUGAAAUAAGGGAUGUGCUUGGACCAUUGACAGAAGCAGAGCUCCAGGACAUUUGGACAGCCGUUUUGGACAUCUGCUGAUGGUCAGGUAAGACUCACUUUUGUGUUUGUGUUCUGUUGUAUCGGUUACCAUCACUUCCUUUCUAGAGAGGUGACCUCUCCAGAAAGGAAGUGAUGGUAACCGAUAGCACAUAACACAAAAACGAGCGGGAGGUCUUACCUGUCCGCAGCAGACGUCCAUCACGCCAGUAAAUGUAGUCCAAACGUCCCGGAGCUCUGCUUCUGUUGACUGUACGGUCCAAACACAUCCCUCAUUCUCUAGAGGAAACACAGAAAUAGAGACACUGUCAAACAGCAGAUCUAAACAUCACACUCUGACAGAUAUUACAGUUAAUAAUUCAGAAUUAUACACAUUUACAGCCUAAAUAUUGCCUGUGCAAGCUCUAGAAACACAGCAGAACAUCAGAGCUUCACAAACUGACUUGUUGACACAUAUUAUGUCUUGUUCUGCUUUAUAAUGAGAGGCUGUUUAACUCUGAGCCUUUACAUAUUAAACAGCAACUACCAAUUCAUUUGCUCCUAAAUGUCUGACAGUGACAGAGAGCAGCAUGUAAACAAAGCUGUUUAACAAACAGGAGAGCUCUGCUUAAACAUAUCACUAAAGACACUUCAAUAAGUGCUAAACAUGAACUUAACUACGACUGAAGUACAAAGAAUAAAGACUUAAUGAGGAAAUGCAGGAGAAAUACUGUACAGUUACUUACAGAUGAGUCGCUUUUCACUGCAUUCCUGUCCUUUAUCUCAGCGUGUGUCGGUUAUUUUAGUUGUCGGACUGCAUUAAAUGUUGUUUAGUGACAUUAAAACACUGUCGCUGA